rnacentral:rRNA from 1 species
AGCGUACACGGUGGAUGCCCUGGCAGUCAGAGGCGAUGAAGGGCGUGCUAAUCUGCGAUAAGCGCCGGUAAGGUGAUAUGAACCGUUAUAACCGGCGAUACCCGAAUGGGGAAACCCAGUGUGAUUCGUCACACUAUCAUUAACUGAAUCCAUAGGUUAAUGAGGCGAACCGGGGGAACUGAAACAUCUAAGUACCCCGAGGAAAAGAAAUCAACCGAGAUUCCCCCAGUAGCGGCGAGCGAACGGGGAGGAGCCCAGAGCCUGAAUCAGCAUGUGUGUUAGUGGAAGCGUCUGGAAAGGUGCGCGAUACAGGGUGACAGCCCCGUACACAAAAGCGCAUGUGCUGUGAGCUCGAUGAGUAGGGCGGGACACGUGGUAUCCUGUCUGAAUAUGGGGGGACCAUCCUCCAAGGCUAAAUACUCCUGACUGACCGAUAGUGAACCAGUACCGUGAGGGAAAGGCGAAAAGAACCCCGGCGAGGGGAGUGAAAAAGAACCUGAAACCGUGUACGUACAAGCAGUGGGAGCACAGGUUUACCUGUGUGACUGCGUACCUUUUGUAUAAUGGGUCAGCGACUUAUAUUCUGUAGCAAGGUUAACCGAAUAGGGGAGCCGGAGGGAAACCGAGUCUUAAUUGGGCGUUAAGUUGCAGGGUAUAGACCCGAAACCCGGUGAUCUAGCCAUGGGCAGGUUGAAGGUUGGGUAACACUAACUGGAGGACCGAACCGACUAAUGUUGAAAAAUUAGCGGAUGACCUGUGGCUGGGGGUGAAAGGCCAAUCAAACCGGGAGAUAGCUGGUUCUCCCCGAAAGCUAUUUAGGUAGCGCCUCGUGAAUUCAUCUCCGGGGGUAGAGCACUGUUUCGGCUAGGGGGCCAUCCCGGCUUACCAACCCGAUGCAAACUGCGAAUACCGGAGAAUGUUAUCACGGGAGACACACGGCGGGUGCUAACGUCCGUCGUGAAGAGGGAAACAACCCAGACCGCCAGCUAAGGUCCCAAAGUCAUGGUUAAGUGGGAAACGAUGUGGGAAGGCCCAGACAGCCAGGAUGUUGGCUUAGAAGCAGCCAUCAUUUAAAGAAAGCGUAAUAGCUCACUGGUCGAGUCGGCCUGCGCGGAAGAUGUAACGGGGCUAAACCAUGCACCGAAGCUGCGGCAGCGAACGUAUCACCCAAGACAACUUUACGGAGUUGACGAUUGACGGAGCGAAGCGACGUCAAAGCGUUCAUUAAAGUCGAGUUGGCUUAGGGAUACGUUCGUUGGGUAGGGGAGCGUUCUGUAAGCCUGUGAAGGUGUGUCGUGAGGCAUGCUGGAGGUAUCAGAAGUGCGAAUGCUGACAUAAGUAACGAUAAAGCGGGUGAAAAGCCCGCUCGCCGGAAGACCAAGGGUUCCUGUCCAACGUUAAUCGGGGCAGGGUGAGUCGACCCCUAAGGCGAGGCCGAAAGGCGUAGUCGAUGGGAAACGGGUUAAUAUUCCCGUACUUGGUGUUACUGCGAAGGGGGGACGGAGAAGGCUAUGUUGGCCGGGCGACGGUUGUCCCGGUUUAAGCGUGUAGGUGUGUGUUCCAGGUAAAUCCGGUUCACUUUAACACUGAGGCGUGAUGACGAGGCACUACGGUGCUGAAGCAACAAAUGCCCUGCUUCCAGGAAAAGCCUCUAAGCAUCAGGUAACAUCAAAUCGUACCCCAAACCGACACAGGUGGUCAGGUAGAGAAUACCAAGGCGCUUGAGAGAACUCGGGUGAAGGAACUAGGCAAAAUGGUGCCGUAACUUCGGGAGAAGGCACGCUGACACGUAGGUGAAGUGAUUUACUCACGGAGCUGAAGUCAGUCGAAGAUACCAGCUGGCUGCAACUGUUUAUUAAAAACACAGCACUGUGCAAACACGAAAGUGGACGUAUACGGUGUGACGCCUGCCCGGUGCCGGAAGGUUAAUUGAUGGGGUCAGCGCAAGCGAAGCUCCUGAUCGAAGCCCCGGUAAACGGCGGCCGUAACUAUAACGGUCCUAAGGUAGCGAAAUUCCUUGUCGGGUAAGUUCCGACCUGCACGAAUGGCGUAAUGAUGGCCAGGCUGUCUCCACCCGAGACUCAGUGAAAUUGAACUCGCUGUGAAGAUGCAGUGUACCCGCGGCAAGACGGAAAGACCCCGUGAACCUUUACUAUAGCUUGACACUGAACAUUGAGCCUUGAUGUGUAGGAUAGGUGGGAGGCUUUGAAGUGUGGACGCCAGUCUGCAUGGAGCCGACCUUGAAAUACCACCCUUUAAUGUUUGAUGUUCUAACGUGGACCCGUAAUCCGGGUUGCGGACAGUGUCUGGUGGGUAGUUUGACUGGGGCGGUCUCCUCCUAAAGAGUAACGGAGGAGCACGAAGGUUGGCUAAUCCUGGUCGGACAUCAGGAGGUUAGUGCAAUGGCAUAAGCCAGCUUGACUGCGAGCGUGACGGCGCGAGCAGGUGCGAAAGCAGGUCAUAGUGAUCCGGUGGUUCUGAAUGGAAGGGCCAUCGCUCAACGGAUAAAAGGUACUCCGGGGAUAACAGGCUGAUACCGCCCAAGAGUUCAUAUCGACGGCGGUGUUUGGCACCUCGAUGUCGGCUCAUCACAUCCUGGGGCUGAAGUAGGUCCCAAGGGUAUGGCUGUUCGCCAUUUAAAGUGGUACGCGAGCUGGGUUUAGAACGUCGUGAGACAGUUCGGUCCCUAUCUGCCGUGGGCGCUGGAGAACUGAGGGGGGCUGCUCCUAGUACGAGAGGACCGGAGUGGACGCAUCACUGGUGUUCGGGUUGUCAUGCCAAUGGCACUGCCCGGUAGCUAAAUGCGGAAGAGAUAAGUGCUGAAAGCAUCUAAGCACGAAACUUGCCCCGAGAUGAGUUCU